GAAGAACAAUGAGACAUAUGGCCGAAGGGCUAGAAGGAAAGAAACCUGCUAUGAAAAUGAUGCAUGAAAUGCAAUGUUUUUAUUUUAAUUUUUCUAGGAACAUUCAAAGCCUUACUUUCAAAUAUUUCAAUAAUGAUAAUCAAUUUUGGAUUGACCAAAAAAUCUCUUUUUAUUCAUCAAAUUCAGAAGGAUUACAUUGAGUAUAAUUUCAGAAACCCAAAAUACAAAUACAAGAGAAAAGGAAAGUAUCAUCCUUAGGAUCCUUA
rnacentral:lncRNA from 1 species